GUAGCUCCAUGGGAGAGUACACCUGGGUUCAAUCCCCAGGACUACAAAAGGAAAAAAAAGGAAUAAAAAUGAACAGCCGAACAGCCAGAUGAAGAGGGAUGUACGGUCAAGUCCAGAAGAGUCCCCUGAGCACAAGAACUUCUGUCCCUGCAGACUUACCUUCCCAUCACAUGGAUAUGUUCAGCCCCAGAAACUAAAUCCCACCCAUGAUUUGGUGUUUCUGUAGAGGUUCCAUUAUGUAGGCAUGACUAACAGAACUUAGUCCCCAGCCUCCCCACCUGCCCAGAGACAAGGGCGAAGCUGGAAGUUCUCCAGUCACAGUCAUCUCAUUAAUAUAUAAAAACGUGCCUCCAGAGAUGCCAGGAUCUGGUAGGUCCUGGGGUCAGGAGCAGAUGCUAGCCCCUCUAUAUAAACAAAAGAUGCUCCCAGCCCUCUGGAAGAACCGGCAGGAGCAGAGGCCAGAUAUUUUUUUUAUGCUCUGGACAACCUUGGGACGUUGUGUACUUGGCAGUGCAAGCAUGUGCUCCCGAUGCUCCUGGUAGCUACAAAGGAUGGGGAAGAAAGCUGAGUUCGUGCCAGAGGAGGGCUGGGGCCCUGCCAUACCUUGCUUCUAGCUCUUCACUCUCCAUCUUCUUCUGUUGAGCCAUGGCUGCAUCCCGCAACCGGUUUUCCUUUACUUUUUCCUUGAGCAGCUCCUCGUGCUUGUACGCCUGGAAGAGCGUAUUCACAAAGAAGACGUACAUGUUAUUGACCCACGUGUUGAGCUUCUCCUUCUGGUCAUUCUUGGGUUUUUCAUUUUUCUCUGGAAUAAAGUUUAAUUAAAAUGAGCAUUAAUACAA